ACACCUCAACUCUCAUGGUCUGCCAUGAUGAGCUUGGACUUUGGAGGUCUUGCCGGCUUGACCGUCGGCUCCUCUCAAACGAAUCAGCUUGCCGGUGUUUGGCGGCGCCACGGGUGUGAUAACUAUCUACGCUUGUGGUGUUCCGUCAGGUAACCUUCAGUGAUGGAGGUUCGCUGCAGCUCACAGACGUCUCUCCUCUUGGAAGACAGCUUUUUGAAC
rnacentral:misc_RNA from 1 species